CCAACAUUGCAAACCUAGACUCCUUGAUACCUCCGACCGACGUCAGUCUGGAACGGAGGAGACCAACAAGGAGAAUCUCUGAACAGGUGAAGAGGCAGUGUUCUGUGUGUGGCAGAAAGAAUGAAACAGACAUAUGGUUACCAGAAGCAUGGACUUUGGCAGAGAGUGGGCUCCACAAUUGAGGCUGUGACGUUGGAAGAAGCAUCUUUGUGUGGCCUGGUUGGUUUCCUGUUCCAGGCCAUAGAUAAAUCCUGCCUGUGCAGAUGGACUGAUGGAUCCACACUAAAAGGUCUCUCCUACUGUUAAAAUAAUACCUCAGAGCACAUGUACUUGGAUGGUUUGUGGUAGUGGUGCCCUCAUAUAUAAAAGACUUUUGCAUUAUAAAAUUUUUUCAAUGAACAGCAGAUGAAUCACAGAAGUAAUUUUUUACUGAACUUGCUUCAAUCUAAGUGGGAAGUAUUUGGUUACUGUCUCUAUAAUAAGUGUGUCUUACAAAU